UAUUGGGCAAUGGAGGAAACUCUGACCCAGAGACGCCGGGUGCGGGAUGAAGGCCUUCGGGCUGUAAACCGCUUUCAGUAGGGAAGAAGGGAAAGUGACGGUACCUUAAAAAUAAGCACCGGCUAACUAUGUGCCAGCAGCCGCGGUAAUACAUAGGGUGCAAGCGUUGUCCGGAAUUAUUGGGCGUAAAGAGCUCGUAGGUGGUUUGUUAAGUCGGAUGUGAAAACCUGAGGCUCAACCUCAGGCCGGCAUUCGAUACGGGCAAACUAGAGUUUGGUAGGGGAGAAUGGAAUUCCGGGUGUAGCGGUGGAAUGCGCAGAUAUCAGGAGGAACACCAAUGGCGAAGGCAGUGUCCCUGGGCCAAUACUGACACUCAUGAACGAAG
rnacentral:rRNA from 1 species